rnacentral:rRNA from 1 species
GGUUUGAUUCUGGCUCAGAUUGAACGCUGGCGGGAUGCUUUACAAGAUGUCGAACGGCAGCACGGACUUCGGUCUGGUGGCGAGUGGCGAACGGAGUAACGGUAUCGGAACGUGCCUAGCGGGGAUAACGACAAGCGAAAGCGUAGCCAAUACCGCCACGCCCUUCGGGGGAAAGCGGGGACCUCGGGCCUCGGGCAAUGACAGAGCGGCCUAUCGGAUUAGCUAGUUGGUGGGGGCAACGGCUCACCAAGGCGACGAUCCGUAGCUAUUGGAGAGGACGACCAGCCACACUGGGACUGAGACACGGCCCAGACUCCUACGGGAGGCAGUGGGGAAACUCUGGACAAUGGGGGAAACCCCUGAUCCAGCCAUCCUGCAGGGGAUGAAGGCCUUCGGGUUGUAAAGCACUUUUGGCAGGAAAGAAACGGCACGGGAUACCUCAGCAACUGACGGUAUUUCCGCAGAAUAAGCACCGGCUAACCGUGCCAGCAGCCGCGGUAAUACGUAGGGCAAACGUUAAUCGGAAUUACUGGGCGCAAGUGCGCAGGCGGUUCUGGAGGCAGCAUACGGGGAAUCCUGAGCCAUGAAUUUUGAACCGUACUUAACUACCGAGUUAGAGUGUGUCAGAGUGGGAGGGUAAAUUCCGUGUAGCAGUGAAAGGCAGAUAUGCGGAGGAACACCGAUGGCGAAGGCAGCCUCCUGGGAUAACACUGACGCCCAUGCACGAAAGCGUGGGGAUGCAAACAGGAUUAGAUACUCCUGGUAGUCCACGCCUUUUAACGAUGCCAACUAGCUGUUGGGGCCUCGGGCCUGGUAGCGCAGCUAAUCGCGUGAAGUUGACCGCCUGGGGAGUGAAGACGGUCGUGGGGAAGAUUUAAACCUGGGGGUGAAUUGAUGACCCGCACAAGCGGUGGAUGAUGUGGAUUAAUUGAUGCAACGCGAAAAACUCAUCACCCUUGAUACGUGGUCUGGAAUCCUGAAGAGAUUUGGGAGUGCUCAGAGAACUGGAACACAGGUGCUGCAUGGCUGUCGUCAGCUCGUGCUGCAGAUGGCUGGGUUAAGUCCCGCAACGAGCGCAACCCUUGUCAUUAGUUGAGCAAUACGAAAGGGCACUUUCGGAUGAGACUGCCGGUGACGCAAACCGGAGGAAGGUGGGGACGACGUCAAGUCCUCAUGGCCCUUAUGGGUAGGGCUUCACACGUCAUACAAUGGUCGGGACAGGGAGGGUCGCCAACCCGCGAGGGGGAACCAACCAGAAACGAUCGUAGUCCGAUCGCAGUCUGCAACUCGACUGCGUGAAGUCGGAAUCGCUAGUAAUCGCGGAUCAGCAGAUGUCGCGGUGAACACGUUCCCGGGUCUUGUACACACCGCCCGUCACACCAUGGGAGUGGGUUUUACCAGAAGUAGUUAUUAGCCUAACCGUAUGAGGGCGAUUACCACGGUAGAUUCAUGACUGGUGAAGUCGUAACGCUUAUAACU